ACUCUUAUUGUUGCGGGUCAUUUCCGCUUCACCCCGAUCUCCCCACUUUAAGUUGCGGGGUCACAGUAUCACUUCCUCCUCCUCCGCUCCGCUGUGGCUGUGGCGGGUCUGGGCGUCGGCAAACUAUUGCAGUAAACUUUUAAACCAGGAAUCCUUUAACAUCCACAAUUGGAGCCGCCAUAUAGGUUAUACUCACCUGGCCGUGUAUGGAGAGGAAAUCGCAACGGGAAAUUCGAAGGUCAGGUUUUUUUCAAUGGACUGAUUCAACUCCAGCUCUGCAGAAACACUCAACUCAACAAGGAAAUGCAUGAUGGCGAGCUUACCCAACCUGAACUUAGAUUAGCCUAGAUCAAAACACUAAAUAACUGGACUGUUUUCGUUUUUUUAUUUAUUUUUUUGUUAUUGUUGUUCUGUCAAUUUAUUUUCAAUAUACUCCACCCAACUCCAUAUCCAUGUGUUACGUGUCUUCAUUCACACUCAGGCUCCUCAAAGAACAUUUCUUCUGAUGCUGCUUUUGUGGCCGUAGUCUGCCCCUAGCCCUAAAACAUUUU